rnacentral:rRNA from 1 species
ACGGAGGGUGCGAGCGUUAAUCGGAAUCACUGGGCGUAAAGCGCACGUAGGCGGUGUCGUAAGUCGGAUGUGAAAGCCCUCGGCUCAACCGGGGAACUGCAUUCGAUACUGCGAUGCUUGAGUGCCGGAGAGGGUGGCGGAAUUCCAGGUUUUAGGGGGAAAGCCGGAGAUAACUGGAGGGACACCAGUGGCGGAGGGGGCCACCUGGCCGGCAACUGGCGGUGGGGUGGGGAAGCGUUGGGAUCAAACAG